rnacentral:rRNA from 1 species
AGAGUUUGAUCCUGGCUCAGGAUGAACGCCGGCGGUGUGCCUAAUACAUGCAAGUCGUACGCACUGGCCCAACUGAUUGAUGGUGCUUGCACCUGAUUGACGAUGGAUCACCAGUGAGUGGCGGACGGGUGAGUAACACGUAGGUAACCUGCCCCGGAGCGGGGGAUAACAUUUGGAAACAGAUGCUAAUACCGCAUAACAACAAAAGCCACAUGGCUUUUGUUUGAAAGAUGGCUUUGACUAUCACUCUGGGAUGGACCUGCGGUGCAUUAGCUAGUUGGUAAGGUAACGGCUUACCAAGGCGAUGAUGCAUAGCCGAGUUGAGAGACUGAUCGGCCACAAUGGAACUGAGACACGGUCCAUACUCCUACGGGAGGCAGCAGUAGGGAAUCUUCCACAAUGGGCGCAAGCCUGAUGGAGCAACACCGCGUGAGUGAAGAAGGGUUUCGGCUCGUAAAGCUCUGUUGUUGGAGAAGAACGUGCGUGAGAGUAACUGUUCACGCAGUGACGGUAUCCAACCAGAAAGUCACGGCUAACUACGUGCCAGCAGCCGCGGUAAUACGUAGGUGGCAAGCGUUAUCCGGAUUUAUUGGGCGUAAAGCGAGCGCAGGCGGUUGCUUAGGUCUGAUGUGAAAGCCUUCGGCUUAACCGAAGAAGUGCAUCGGAAACCGGGCGACUUGAGUGCAGAAGAGGACAGUGGAACUCCAUGUGUAGCGGUGGAAUGCGUAGAUAUAUGGAAGAACACCAGUGGCGAAGGCGGCUGUCUGGUCUGCAACUGACGCUGAGGCUCGAAAGCAUGGGUAGCGAACAGGAUUAGAUACCCUGGUAGUCCAUGCCGUAAACGAUGAGUGCUAGGUGUUGGAGGGUUUCCGCCCUUCAGUGCCGGAGCUAACGCAUUAAGCACUCCGCCUGGGGAGUACGACCGCAAGGUUGAAACUCAAAGGAAUUGACGU